rnacentral:lncRNA from 1 species
UCGAUUUUUACAGAAAAUAUGGAACCAGAAUUGCUGGCCUGAAAGUAUGCCCCAAUACAUUUAGAUUGCCAUCUUUCUUGUUCAACUUUCUAUUAAUCUUUACCAGUUAUGCACAAAACAAUUUUGUAGUUUUUAUAGUGGUGCCACACUGAAAAGUUUAGUCUUGGUGACAUUAUAAUUCCUUGAGCUCAAAUAGAUCCUUGCCAGCAUUUAGUAUGCUAUUGGAGUAAAGGCGGUGCCUAUUAAUCUGAUUGUGUUGGCACACUAUAAUGAAGCUACGUUUUCCCAAGAAAUAACCAUGCUGUAGGCUUCUAGGGUGGCUGUACUAUCAACUGGGUGUUGUUUGCAUAUGUCCCUAUCAGUAUCAGGUUCAUUCUUGCGCGUUUGUGGAUAGUUUUUUUUGCCUUCGUGUGCUAAUCAACCAUCUCUGCGCUUGCUGCAGACCAAGAUUCCGAGGAAGGGAGCCGUCAUCAAAGGGAAGAUCAACAACGACUCGGUUGACAAGUGAGUGCUAUCUGCCUUGUGCUGGUUGCCAUAUAACUUCAAUUGUAAUUUCAUAAAUAAAUGUAAGAAGCACCUGACUGCAAUUAGAAAUUCAGAAUUUCCCCUGUUGUUAGAGCUGGGCAUUUGUGUGCUACGCCUGCAAUGACUAAUUACUCUUGUGUACACGGUUAAGUGGCCUUCAUUUUAACUUGAUGCUACAUUUAUUCCUUUGUUUUUAGGAGCUGAUAAUAAGCACAAGUUGUUAUGUUCUAUUUAUAUUCAUGUUCAUACUUGAAAAAAUAGCAGUAUCUCUAUAUAAUAUUUAGUGUCACAUAAUUUCAGUAAAAACAACCCAAAAUAGUUUUAGCAUGGCCGGCCAAUUCCUGCUCAUCCAUACACACACAGCUGGCCAGCCGAUUAACAACAAAGGAUUGAAAUAUGCAGCUAUGAGUACAAAACGACCAAAACCCAUUGCUUGUAGUAUUACUAGUGUUUUUCUUGUGAAAUUCAUAUUGUAUAUCCUUCUCUCUUUCCUUGUGUUGAUCGUUAUAUACGGAGUUGUACUUCUGGGUGUGCUUAUAAUACCCUCUCAUAG